GAUGAACGCAGGCGACGUGCCUAACACAUGCAAGUCGAGCGAGGGUUUGCUCAGUAUUGAGUAUUCUCAGAUUAGAUGUUCAAUUCUGAGCAAAACCAAGCGGCGGACGGGUGAGUAACGCGUGGGUAACCUGCCCUAUACACAUGGAUAACAUACUGAAAAGUUUACUAAUACAUGAUAAUAUAUAUUUGCGGCAUCGCAGAUAUAUCAAAGUGUAGCGGUAUAGGAUGGACCCGCGUCUGAUAAGCUAGUUGGUGAGAUAACUGCCCACCAAGGCGACGAUCAGUAGCCGACCUGAGAGGGUGAUCGGCCACAUUGGAACUGAGACACGGUCCAAACUCCUACGGGAGGCAGCAGUGGGGAAUAUUGCACAAUGGGCGAAAGCCUGAUGCAGCAACGCCGCGUGAACGAUGAAGGUCUUCGGAUCGUAAAGUUCUGUUGCAGGGGAAGAUAAUGACGGUACCCUGUGAGGAAGCCCCGGCUAACUACGUGCCAGCAGCCGCGGUAAUACGUAGGGGGCUAGCGUUAUCCGGAUUUACUGGGCGUAAAGGGUGCGUAGGUGGUCCUUCAAGUCGGUGGUUAAAGGCUACGGCUCAACCGUAGUAAGCCGCCGAAACUGGAGGACUUGAGUGCAGGAGAGGAAAGUGGAAUUCCCAGUGUAGCGGUGAAAUGCGUAGAUAUUGGGAGGAACACCAGUAGCGAAGGCGGCUUUCUGGACUGCAACUGACACUGAGGCACGAAAGCGUGGGUAGCAAACAGG
rnacentral:rRNA from 1 species